rnacentral:tRNA from 1 species
GUUUUAAUAGUUUAAAUAAAACAUUGGUCUUGUAAAUCAAAAUUAAGGUCUCCUUUUAAAACU